rnacentral:rRNA from 1 species
UACGAAGGGGCUAGCGUUGCUCGGAAUUACUGGGCGUAAAGCGCACGUAGGCGGCUUCUAAGUCGGGGUGGAAAUCCUGGAGCUCAACUCCAGAACUGCCUUCGAUACUGGAGAGCGUUGAGUCCGGGAGAGGUGAGUGGAACUGCGAGUGUAGAGGUGAAAUUCGUAGAUAUUCGCAAGAACACCAGUGGCGAAGGCGGCUCACUGGCCCGGUACUGACGCUGAGGUGCGAAAGCGUGGGAGCAACAGGGAUUAAGAUACCGUUGACGUCCAG